rnacentral:tRNA from 1 species
GGGCGUAUGGCUCAGAUGGCUAGAGCGCUGCCUUCACACGGCAGAGGUCACAGGUUCGAUUCCUGUUACGCCCA